rnacentral:rRNA from 1 species
AUUGAACGCUGGCGGCAGGCCUAACACAUGCAAGUCGAGCGGAUGAAGGGGGCUUGCUCCUGGAUUCAGCGGCGGACGGGUGAGUAAUGCCUAGGAAUCUGCCUGGUAGUGGGGGAUAACGUCCGGAAACGGGCGCUAAUACCGCAUACGUCCUGAGGGAGAAAGUGGGGGAUCUUCGGACCUCACGCUAUCAGAUGAGCCUAGGUCGGAUUAGCUAGUUGGUGGGGUAAAGGCCUACCAAGGCGACGAUCCGUAACUGGUCUGAGAGGAUGAUCAGUCACACUGGAACUGAGACACGGUCCAGACUCCUACGGGAGGCAGCAGUGGGGAAUAUUGGACAAUGGGCGAAAGCCAGAUCCAGCCAUGCCGCGUGUGUGAAGAAGGUCUUCGGAUUGUAAAGCACUUUAAGUUGGGAGGAAGGGCAGUAAGUUAAUACCUUGCUGUUUUGACGUUACCAACAGAAUAAGCACCGGCUAACUUCGUG